rnacentral:pre_miRNA from 1 species
AGGGUUAUCGAGAGGCAUCAAUGCUACAGUCACACCAUAAUGCCCCUUGAAAACCCACA